rnacentral:rRNA from 1 species
GACGAACGCUGGCGGCGUGCUUAACACAUGCAAGUCGAACGGAAAGGCCCUGCUUUUGUGGGGUGCUCGAGUGGCGAACGGGUGAGUAACACGUGAGUAACCUGCCCUUGACUUUGGGAUAACUUCAGGAAACUGGGGCUAAUACCGGAUAGGAGCUCCUGCUGCAUGGUGGGGGUUGGAAAGUUUCGGCGGUUGGGGAUGGACUCGCGGCUUAUCAGCUGGUUGGUGUGGUAGGUGCUUACCAAGGCUGUGACGGGUAGCCGGCCUGAGAGGGGGACCGGCCACAUUGGGACUGAGAUACGGCCCAGACGCCUACGGGAGGCAGCAGUGGGGAGUCUUGCACAAUGGGCGGAAGCGUGAUGCAGCAACGCCGCGUGCGGGAUGACGGCCUUCGGGUUGUAAACCGCUUUCGCCUGUGACGAAGCGUGAGUGACGGUAAUGGGUAAAGAAGCACCGGCUAACUACGUG